AGGGCAUCAACCUGAUUACAACAAGCAGAAACAAUCAUCAAUGUUCAGUGUAAAAUACCCCUGGCUGCUACCCUCCCCCUUUCUACUCCAUGGCCGUGGGCUCUCUCGGCCAGUAUAAAGGAAGCCCUGGAAGGUGCCGGGUCUUUCCCUAAGGAGCUGUAUAGUAGACCAUCUAAGAGAUUCUUGCAAUGUUGGCCCCAGGAUUACAAGACAAUCAGGGACCAUCAUGGGAGGAUUAAUGACAGCGUUUAAGAUCACCAGUGUUCCAGUUGACUUUGUAUGAAUAAACCAGUUCAUUUGUUUUAUUUAUAACAUCUGUUCCCUGUUAUUCUCAUCACAUGCUAGGUGCUAGGCCUUGUUCAUUCAUGAGCCAUUGUUGUAAUCUUU